rnacentral:rRNA from 1 species
UUAUGGAAAAUUCAACAUUAAUAUUGUAAUAUUUAUUUAUAGAUAUUAUGAAAAUAGUGUGCAAUUUUUCCAUAUAAGGACAUUGUAAUCUGUUAAUGUAAUAAUUAUUUAUCAUAAGAUUCAAUAAUAAAAAGUUUAUUUAAAUUAGUUAUUUUCGAAUUUCUAACAUAGAAUAAAUUUAUUGAAUUUGAUAAAUCAUUGACAGAUUUAUUUAUAUAUAAUGCUUAAAUUCUUAAUUGAAUUUUACAAUAAUUUUUAAAUGUAUAUAUAUACAUUUAUUAAUUUUAUUGUAUGCAUUUAUAUGAUUAACAAUGCUAUAGAUUCAGGAUACCUUCGGGACCCGUCUUGAAACACGGACCAAGGAGUCUAACAUAUGUGCAAGUCAUUGGGUAUUUUUAAUAAAACCCAAUGGCAUAAUUAACUUAACUGUUUUUUAUGGGAUUAGUUUAUAUUUUAUUAUGAAAUAUUAAUUCAAUCCCAGGGCGUUCUAUAUAGUUAUGURUAAUAAUAUUUAUAUUAUUUAUGCCUCUAACUAGAGCGUACCUUCAGCAUAUAUGC